UACGUAGGGUGCAAGCGUUGUCCGGAAUUAUUGGGCGUAAAGAGCUCGUAGGCGGUCUGUCGCGUCUGCUGUGAAACUCAGGGCUUAACCCUGAGCUUGCAGUGGGUACGGGCAGACUAGAGUGCGGUAGGGGAGACUGGAAUUCCUGGUGUAGCGGUGAAAUGCGCAGAUAUCAGGAGGGAACACCGGUGGCGAAGGCGGUUCUCUGGGCCUUACCUGACGC
rnacentral:rRNA from 1 species